UUUUUUGAUUCCCAUUCUACCCUUAAAGCCAACUCUCUCUCUCUCUCUCUCUACCUUCAGUAUCUUCUUCUCCUCCUCCGCACAGAGACACAGACCUCGAGAGAGUGUGAAUGGCAAAGAAAAACGCGUCUUUGGAAUCGGUGUACGAGUUCUUGAAGAGGUGACGACUCGCCGGUAAUCGGAUCCCUCCAGAUCGUUCAGCUCAGCUCCUCCGCUUCCUCUCCCUCCGAUCUCAUCACGUAAGCAACAUACCCAUCUCUCGCCGGCGAUUCGAAUUUCAAAACCCUCGCUUAUCCACUCUCGCUUGCUGCAACGUCGUUUCGAAUCGGCGCGCUUUCGAUACGCGUCGUCAUCGUCGACUCCACUUCACACCACCAUGCCUCGCGCCACCAUCGACUUCUGCCUCCAUCACCGUGAUGACGGACCAAUCACAUCCCGCCACCUCGAAUUCGGUAUCUGCGGUGGAGAAGCCGCUGCCAAUACCGGCUGUAGCCU
rnacentral:lncRNA from 1 species